GACGAACGCUGGCGGCGUGCUUAACACAUGCAAGUCGAACGGGAUUUAGUAGACAGAAGCCUCGGCUAAAGAUUACUAAUGAGAGUGGCGAACGGGUGAGUAACGCGUGAGCAACCUGCCUAUGACAGUGGGAUAGCCUCGGGAAACCGGGAUUAAUACCGCAUAAAAUCGUAGAAACACAUGUUUCAACGGUCAAAGAUUUAUCGGUCAUAGAUGGGCUCGCGUCUGAUUAGCUAGUUGGUGAGAUAACAGCCCACCAAGGCGACGAUCAGUAGCCGGUCUGAGAGGAUGAACGGCCACAUUGGAACUGAGACACGGUCCAGACUCCUACGGGAGGCAGCAGUGGGGAAUAUUGCACAAUGGGGGAACCCCUGAUGCAGCGACGCCGCGUGAACGAAGAAGGUAUUCGUAUCGUAAAGUUCUGUCCUAUGGGAAGAUAAUGACAGUACCAUAGAAGAAAGCUCCGGCUAAAUACGUG
rnacentral:rRNA from 1 species